AAUAUAGUGGCCCUGGAAGAGCCAGUAAUUGGCAAAAGAAUAAUUAAGGAGUCUUGAAUGGACUUUAAGUUACAAAAGCGAAUGGCCGACAUUCAGGCCUUCAAAGCCAGACUGAUGACUUUCAAUAAGGAAUGCAAUGACAAAGCGAAGGAAGAGACUGCCCUAAAAGUGCUGAAGGACAAGUUGGCAGUAUUCGAGUUAGAGCAAAG
rnacentral:lncRNA from 1 species